GAUGAACGCUAUCUACAGGCUUAACACAUGCAAGUCGAGGGGCAGCAUGGUCUUAGCUUGCUAAGGCCGAUGGCGACCGGCGCACGGGUGAGUAACACGUAUCCAACCUGCCGUCUACUCUUGGACAGCCUUCUGAAAGGAAGAUUAAUACAAGAUGGCAUCAUGAGUCCGCAUGUUCACAUGAUUAAAGGUAUUCCGGUAGACGAUGGGGAUGCGUUCCAUUAGAUAGUAGGCGGGGUAACGGCCCACCUAGUCUUCGAUGGAUAGGGGUUCUGAGAGGAAGGUCCCCCACAUUGGAACUGAGACACGGUCCAAACUCCUACGGGAGGCAGCAGUGAGGAAUAUUGGUCAAUGGGCGAGAGCCUGAACCAGCCAAGUAGCGUGAAGGAUGACUGCCCUAUGGGUUGUAAACUUCUUUUAUAAAGGAAUAAAGUCGGGUAUGGAUACCCGUUUGCAUGUACUUUAUGAAUAAGGAUCGGCUAACUCCGUGCCAGCAGCCGCGGUAAUACGGAGGGUCCGAGCGUUAUCCGGAUUUAUUGGGUUUAAAGGGAGCGUAGAUGGAUGUUUAAGUCAGUUGUGAAAGUUUGCGGCUCAACCGUAAAAUUGCAGUUGAUACUGGAUAUCUUGAGUGCAGUUGAGGCAGGCGGAAUUCGUGGUGUAGCGGUGAAAUGCUUAGAUAUCACGAAGAACUCCGAUUGCGAAGGCAGCCUGCUAAGCUGCAACUGACAUUGAGGCUCGAAAGUGUGGGUAUCAAACAGGAUUAGAUACCCUGGUAGUCCACACGGUAAACGAUGAAUACUCGCUGUUUGCGAUAUACGGCAAGCGGCCGAGCGAAAGCGUUAAGUAUUCCACCUGGGGAGUACGCCGGCAACGGUGAAACUCAAAGGAAUUGACGGGGGCCCGCACAAGCGGAGGAACAUGUGGUUUAAUUCGAUGAUACGCGAGGAACCUUACCCGGGCUUAAAUUGCAGAUGAAUUACGGUGAAAGCCGUAAGCCGCAAGGCAUCUGUGAAGGUGCUGCAUGGUUGUCGUCAGCUCGUGCCGUGAGGUGUCGGCUUAAGUGCCAUAACGAGCGCAACCCUUGUUGUCAGUUACUAACAGGUCAUGCUGAGGACUCUGACAAGACUGCCAUCGUAAGAUGUGAGGAAGGUGGGGAUGACGUCAAAUCAGCACGGCCCUUACGUCCGGGGCUACACACGUGUUACAAUGGGGGGUACAGAGGGCCGCUACCACGCGAGUGGAUGCCAAUCCCCAAAACCUCUCUCAGUUCGGACUGGAGUCUGCAACCCGACUCCACGAAGCUGGAUUCGCUAGUAAUCGCGCAUCAGCCACGGCGCGGUGAAUACGUUCCCGGGCCU
rnacentral:rRNA from 1 species